CCUACGGGGGGCUGCAGUGGGGAAUAUUGGACAAUGGGGGGAACCCUGAUCCAGCCAUGCCGCGUGUGUGAAGAAGGCCCUCGGGUUGUAAAGCACUUUCAGUGAGGAAGAACGCCUGGUGGUUAAUACCCAUCAGGAAAGACAUCACUCACAGAAGAAGCACCGGCUAACUCCGUGCCAGCAGCCGCGGUAAUACGGAGGGUGCGAGCGUGAAUCGGAAUUACUGGGCGUAAAGCGCGCGUAGGUGGCUUGAUAAGCCGGUUGUGAAAGCCCCGGGCUCAACCUGGGAACGGCAUCCGGAACUGUCAAGCUAGAGUGCAGGAGAGGAAGGUAGAAUUCCCGGUGUAGCGGUGAAAUGCGUAGAGAUCGGGAGGAAUACCAGUGGCGAAGGCGGCCUUCUGGACUGACACUGACACUGAGGUGCGAAAGCGUGGGUAGCAAACAGGAUUAGAUACCCCUGUAGUC
rnacentral:rRNA from 1 species